GGGGGUUUGUUAAGUCUGCCGUGACCGCCCUCGGCUCAGCCUGGGUAUUUUAUUGGAUACUGGCGAGCUAGAGUGCGGUAGAGCAUGGCGGACUGCCCGGUGU
rnacentral:rRNA from 1 species